AAAUGUAAAUUUAAAAAAACCAAUAAAAAACCCCAAAACAAAAACCAAAUAUAUCUACAUGUGUUCUACAAUAUCUAAGGAUUUAGACAUUACAGGUGAUGGCUGAGAGUUUGUCUUUCUCUUGUCUCUUCCUUUCCAGGGCCAUUUCUGAAGGAAUACCCAUUUUUCUUAAGAUUAUUGUGAGCCUGGACACUCACUAAUGUCCCUAUUACAAGCAAGUGCAAAGUUCAAGGUUUAGUUGGAAGAUGGGAACUUUCACUUCAGUCUUUCUGGUGAAGUGGACAACUUUCCACCAUACAGACAGGGAGGUGGAGAGAAAGAUCCAUCACCUAUGACUCAGGUACUGUACCUUUCAGAUUGACAUCUAGGAUGGUCUGCCUGGGUAUGACACGUGAGAAAUCCAUGACAGAAGCCGUGUGGAUGACAACAGAGAUGCCCUGGCACGCUCUCCUCAGGGAUAUCUUGAGGGUGUGAAGACAAUGCAGCUAAGAAUCUGCACUGUCAUUCCAGAGCUUGCUCUUGCCCUAGGAGCAGCAAUU